UAAAAUUAUAGAAGUUUAAAUUAAAACAGAUUCAUGAUGACAGCAGCAGAUGUUUGGAUCAGAUAAUUAUUGAUUACCAAUAACUGAAGCAUCAAACUGCAGAGAAUCAGAAUGAAAACAUGAAGCAGCAGAAACAGAAAUAAAAUGUUUCCUUGUUGAGUUUAGGAAGUUUCAGACCAACUUUAACCUUUUAGCAACAUUUAGAGAAGUUUGCUGAGGUUCUGCAGGAACCGGGUCCGGUGGUUCUGGAACUCUGCAGGUCUCUGCGUGUCGGAUGAACUUCACAUUCAUCCUGAGGUGAGGCUCCGCCCCCUCAGCAUCAGGCUGAAGCUGCUUCCAUGUAUGGACUAGACCAAACCUGCAGCAGGGAGGAACUUCAGCUCCCUCAGGCUGAUGAAACGGAUCCUGAGGUUCUGCUGAGGAUGUAGCCGUCACGCCGCCGAGCUUCAGCCGCCGAUGAACAUCUCUGAGCCGCCGCUCUGAGCCGCUCGCCACACAUUGCCAACAUUCCCAGCCGGUCUGGACCUGCAGGGAGGGAGUGUCUGCCUCCUGCUGGAUCUGAUUUACAUGCAGCAACACUCAGACCAAAAAAGGUGAGAAGGCAGCAGCAGCUGAGCUUCCUGGGAAUCCUCCAGCAGCAGCAAACAGCUUUUCCUCAACAUCUACAAGCUGAGACAGGAAGGAGAUAAAAUCGGUUCUGUUCUGCUGAGGAAUGCUGAGAUGUUUCUGAUCCACAGAUUAAACAGGUUUCAUCUC